rnacentral:tRNA from 1 species
GGGCCCGUAGCUCAGGGGUAGAGCAGCCGGCUCAUAACCGGUUGGUCGCAGGUUCAAUCCCUGCCGGGCCCA